GAUAAACGCUGGCGGCGUGCCUAAUACAUGCAAGUCGAGCGAACAGACGAGAGUGCUUGCCCUUUCUGGUGUUCGCCGCGGACGUGUGUGUCACACGUGUGUCCCCUCCCUAUAAGACUGGUAUCAUUUCGGGACACCAGUGCCUAUUCCGGAUAAUAUCUAGCUUCCUAUGUUGCUAUAGUAAAAGACCGUUCUUCUCUCUUUUAUAGUUGCACCCGCGGUGUAUUAGCUAGUUGGUGAGGUAACGGCUCACCAAGGCAACGAUACAUAGCCGACCUGAGAGGGUGAUCGGCCACACUGGGACGGAGACACGGUCCAGACUCCUACGGGAGGCAGCAGUAGGGAAUCUUCCGCAAUGGACGAAAGUCUGACGGAGCAAGGCCGCGUGAGUGAAGAAGGUAUUCGGAUCGUAAAACUCUGUUGUAAGGGAAGAACAAGUACGUAAGUAACUGAACAUACCUUGACGGUACCUAAUCAGAAAGCCACGGCUAACUACGUG
rnacentral:rRNA from 1 species